AAGACCCAAAACUUUCCUCUCUAUCUCAUUUCUUAUCUCAUACAGUCUAUUACCCCAUCCCUAUUUCUCCAUUUUUUGGUUUGUUAUGUGCAUUGUUUAUGAUGAAUACACUUUUGUUUAUCUGUGGUUGCCCAAGCUAUUAUAUUGGCUUUGAUACCACCGGAACCAUUUCCUUGGAAAAGAAAGGAGUUAAUCAAGGAGAGGAAGCACAAAGCUCAUAUUCGGCUGGAUCUAUGGAGAGACAGAGAGAUUCUUCUCAUCACCGAGACUUGAAUCGAUUGGGAUCCACAAAGUUUCACAGACCGCCCGAUGAGUUUCUAUUCUUCUUUGCCAUUUUGAGUUAUUUUGAGUUUUUAAUCAUCUUUAACUUGUUUCUUUGAGUUUCUACCCAUCGUUUUCGUUAUCUGAAUCCCGUUUAGGGUUUGGGAAAAGUGUUUAUUUUGUUUUACUUAUGAUUUUGACAGUUUUUGACGGUGAAUGAUUUUGUCGAUGAUUAUAGCGGCGACCGGAACAAAAAAUAUCUAUGGUUUAAGAAAUUUGUUUCUGACUUAAAUUCUGUAUUUUGAAGGAAAAUCUACAAAUUUAUUUAUCACUAGCUUGCAGAUCUACGAUUGAUAAUGAACAAAAAGAGAAAGGAAGAGAUCUGCUUAGACAUUGACAUGCGUUUGCUUAUUUCAAGUUACUAAAAGGAAUUUUCAAAAGCUCACUCUUAAAGAUAGUCCAUGAAGUGCAUUCAACGACAAAGAUGGUCUCUCUGGACUGGAAUGGCAUAAACAUUUGAUCUAUGGACCAUCUAAACAUAAUCGUUAUAUAUGGCUCUCAAUCAUUCCCUGAAAUUGGUGAUGUUGUAUAAAUGGCCAAGAAACUACACAUUGUAGAAUCCUGAAGAUGCUGUAAAGAAAAAUUAUGGAGGGAGAUUGCAAAAGAAACCUCCACUAAUAUCCAAGGUUUUUUUUCCUUAUGUUUCUUCUUCAACGUUUCAUUUCCUGUAUUGCUAUAUCAUUUGACAAUAUAUGUGUUAAUGUGAAAUGUACUUUUGAAUUGACUUUUCUUCAUGAAUAAAUUCAUUUUAUGGUAGGAUCAUAAACAUGCUUAUUUUGAUUCUGUUGAUUGGGCUUUGGGGAAGGUAUUUUCUGGUCCUAGAAGCAUGCAUCUCUUUAUCAUUAUGCUAUUAAAAUUUUCACAUAAACCUUCAACAUGUUACAUUUCAAAUUAGUUGUUUAUCAUGUCAAGAGCGCCAUUUUUUAUCUCUUCCAAACACAACUACAAUAGUAACUGUACCAGUAAGUUUGUCAAUAAAUAUCUUUGCCAAACACACUAUCUUGACAAAACUGUACCAUUAAGUUUUAAAAGUUUAAUAUUUUUACCCUCUAUUAAAACAUACUUUGUGAAGACACUAUCUUUGCCAAAAGAGAAACUUUUCAUGGAAGUGUACUGUGAAUUCUUCGGCUACGUGUGUAAGUUCUCUCUAAUGAAUUGUCUUUGUAGUUAAAUCUUCCGAUUAUAUAAAACUUGACAUUUGACAAGAAUUUGUUUAGCUCAGCGACGUGCAGCUUCUGCUGGUCUUGGUUUUCUCCAAUUCUGCAACCUCAACAAUUUCAUAACCAAAUUUGUGUUAGGCUUCUUAUUCUUCCUCGGUGUCUCUAUACUGCAAUAUUUCAAAGAAUAUUAUCAAGUAUAACAUGAACAUGCAGAAUGGCUCAAUGAUGUUGUGAUUGUCAUAUUCGCAUCUCACACAAUGGUGGCUGCCUUGGUUGCUUUCAUUUUGGAUCUCACACUCGUACGCGAAGACGAUGCAGCCCAUGACAACAAUGGUUUGAAAUGGUGGGAG